rnacentral:ncRNA from 1 species
ACCGGGAUAAAAACACGAUCCGGUCGGUAGUCCGGAUGCAGGGCCGCUUUGCCCUGUCAGUAACCUGCCUCCUUUGGUUGUCCGUUCCCG